GGGCUGGCGUCAGUAGCACACAUACUAACACUAAAGCGAUACAGAAAAGAUUAACGUGGCUCCUGUGCAAAGAUGACAUGCAAAUCCAUGAACCGUUCUGUAUUUAA